ACAAACACACUAUUGAGAAAUGGCGGUGGAUUUGCAUAUCAGGCAGGAGAUAGGCUGGCCUGAGUCAUCAGCUGCCAGUUUCAGCUGAACACUUCUGCUUUCCCCCAAACAUCACCGAGACACACAGCACAUUUUCUGGAAGGGAGGGAGUGGUGAUCUUUGCCCUUCAAAACGCCCUCUUCACAGGACGACGCUUUCAAAACACAUGGUAAAAGUGUUAUACAACAUACAAGAAACUGACUUCAUGUGGAAGAUGGGGGUCUUGGUAUAUUACCCAAGCUGGCUUGAAAAUCCUGGGCUCAAGAGAUCCUCCUGCCUCAGCCUCCCAAACAACUGGGACUACAAGUAUGUACCAAUAUACCCAGCUAAGAGACUAUCAGACCAGACUAUACCAUCUGCUUCCCAUAAACCAGCAGUGGAAGAUGUGCCUCCCAAGCCCCGCUUGCAUCAGAAUGGUCGUGGUGUCCUAGCUCUCACCGAGCACCUUCUGUGGGGCCCCAGGAUAUUGAUGUGUACGUAUGUGUAUACAAAUGCUGUCCUUGUUUGGAGACAGGGUCUCACCAUGUAGUCCAGGCUGCUCUUGAACUCGCUAUGUAGCCCA